GCUGGCGGCAGGCCUAAUACAUGCAAGUCGAGCGCGCCCUUCGGGGUGAGCGGCGGACGGGUGAGUAACGCGUGGGAAUAUGCCCUUCUCUAAGGAAUAGCCUCUGGAAACGGAGAGUAAUACCUUAUACGCCCUUUGGCGGAAAGAUUUAUCGGAGAAGGAUUAGCCCGCGUUAGAUUAGGUAGUUGGUGGGGUAAUGGCCUACCAAGCCUACGAUCUAUAGCUGGUUUGAGAGGAUGAUCAGCCACACUGGGACUGAGACACGGCCCAGACUCCUACGGGAGGCAGCAGUAGGGAAUCUUAGACAAUGGGGGCAACCCUGAUCUAGCCAUGCCGCGUGUGUGAUGAAGGCCCUAGGGUCGUAAAGCACUUUCGCCAGAGAUGAUAAUGACAGUAUCUGGUAAAGAAACCCCGGCUAACUCCGUGCCA
rnacentral:rRNA from 1 species